GGAACUGCACCUCAUCUGAGACUGGGUGCGGUCAAUGAGAAAUCAAAUAUUUAUAUACUAAUCCUGCAGCCUGGCAACACAACGGAGGAACUUGUGAUGGUAGAGGAAAUGAAACUAGACGGCAUGGGAACAACAGAAACAUGAUGAACUAAUACUCAGGACUGGAUUGGAAGUACUGAGAGGCCCAUCUAGAAGACAGUAAUACUUCGCUUUUUCCAACCUUGCUGCUGAUGCUGGUGAUACCAUCAGUGUGAAUUUCAGAUCAGCAGAUACAAUUAAUGAUGGACUGAAAAUCAGUAUCUACAUAUCAAGACCCAGGAGCAAUACAUUAUGCAUCCAGUUCGCACCAAGAGAUGUUGAAAUAAUGCCUAAGGUACUAUAAACUAGUCUGAAAGAGAAAUACAAAGCCUUGAAAUCAAGCAUGUAAAUAGAGAUUAUUGUCACUGAUACUGUUUGAUGAGUUCAAAUUGAUACAUCCUAACAUUCCUUAGAGUCCUUCUCCAAAAAUUACUGAAGAAAAUGUUAUGCAUUAGCUCUUGUUUUAUUACUGUUAAUAUGUUCUUUAAAAUCACUUCGCUUUAUUGAAAGCAGAGGAUGUAAUUGCUCCAAUGACUAAACUUGUAACUUGAUUAAAUUUUCUGGGAAAUGAAUGUGUAAACAUAAUUGAUAAGAACAAUUUA
rnacentral:lncRNA from 1 species